rnacentral:rRNA from 1 species
UACGUAGGGUGCAAGCGUUAAUCGGAAUUACUGGGCGUAAAGCGUGCGCAGGCGGCUUUGCAAGACAGAUGUGAAAUCCCCGGGCUCAACCUGGGAACUGCAUUUGCGACUGCAAGGCUGGAGUACGGCAGAGGGGGAUGGAAUUCCGCGUGUAGCAGUGAAAUGCGUAGAUAUGCGGAGGAACACCGAUGGCGAAGGCAAUCCCCUGGGCCUGUACUGACGCUCAUGCACGAAAGCGUGGGGAGCAAACAGG